UGGGGAAUAUUGCACAAUGGGCGCAAGCCUGAUGCAGCCAUGCCGCGUAGUAUGAAGAAGGGCCUUCGGGUUGUAAAGUAGCUUUCAGCGAGGAGGAAGGCAUUAAGGUUAAUAACCUUGGUGAUUGACGUUACUCGCAGAAGAAGCACCGGCUAACUCCGUGCCAGCAGCCGCGGUAAUACGGAGGGUGCAAGCGUUAAUCGGAAUUACUGGGCGUAAAGCGCACGCAGGCGGUCUGUUAAGUCAGAUGUGAAAUCCCCGGGCUCAACCUGGGAACUGCAUUUGAAACUGGGCAGGCUUGAGUCUUGUAGAGGGGGGUAGAAUUCCAGGUGUAGCGGUGAAAUGCGUUAGAGAUCUGGAGGAAUACCGGUGGCGAAGGCGGCCCCCUGGACAAAGACUGACGCUCAGGUGCGAAAAGCGUGGGGAGCAAACA
rnacentral:rRNA from 1 species